UACGGGGGGGGCAAGCGUUGUUCGGAAUUACUGGGCGUAAAGGGCUCGUAGGUGGCCAACUAAGUCAGACGUGAAAUCCCUCGGCUUAACCUGGGAACUGCGUGUGAUACUGGAUGGCUUGAAUUCGGGAGAGGGAUGCAGAAUUCCAGGUGUAGCGGUGAAAUGCGUAGAUAUCUGGAGGAACACCGGUGGCGAAGGCGGCAUCCUGGACCAAUAUUGACGCUGAGGAGCGAAAGCUAGGGGAGCAAACGGG
rnacentral:rRNA from 1 species